CAAUAGCGUAUAUUAAAGCUGUUGCGGUUAAAAAGCUCGUAGUUGGAUUUCUGUCAAGGACAACUGGUCCGCCCUUCGGGUGAGCACAUAGUUUGGUCUUGGCAUCUUGUUGGAAACUGUUGCUGCACUUGGUUGUGUGGAGCAGCGUCCAGCACUUUCACUUUGAGGAAAUUGGAGUGUUUCAAGCAGGCACAUGCCUUUGGACACAGUAGCAUGGAAUAAUUAGAUUGGGCUUUUGCUCCAACUUGUCGGUUUCUGGAGCUGAGGUGAGAAUUAAUGGGGAUUGUUGGGGGCAUCCGAAUUUAGCCGUCAGAGGUGAAAUUCUUGGAUCUGCUAAAGACGGACAACUGCGAAAGCGUUUGCCCAGGAUGUUUUCAUUGA
rnacentral:rRNA from 1 species